rnacentral:rRNA from 1 species
CCUACGGGGGGCAGCAGUCGAGAAUCAUUCACAAUGGGGGAAACCCUGAUGGUGCGACGCCGCGUGGGUGAAGAAGGGUUUCGGCUCGUAAAGCUCUGUUGUUGGAGAAGAACGUGCGUGAGAGUAACUGUUCACGCAGUGACGGUAUCCAACCAGAAAGUCACGGCUAACUACGUGCCAGCAGCCGCGGUAAUACGUAGGUGGCAAGCGUUAUCCGGAUUUAUUGGGCGUAAAGCGAGCGCAGGCGGUUGCUUAGGUCUGAUGUGAAAGCCUUCGGCUUAACCGAAGAAGUGCAUCGGAAACCGGGCGACUUGAGUGCAGAAGAGGACAGUGGAACUCCAUGUGUAGCGGUGGAAUGCGUAGAUAUAUGGAAGAACACCAGUGGCGAAGGCGGCUGUCUGGUCUGCAACUGACGCUGAGGCUCGAAAGCAUGGGUAGCGAACAGGAUUAGAUACCCUUGUAGUC